rnacentral:rRNA from 1 species
GGGGAAUCUUGCGCAAUGGGCGAAAGCCUGACGCAGCGACACCGUGUGAAGGAUGAAGGUCUUCGGAUCGUAAACUUCUGUCAAUUGGGGACGAAGGUGCUAGAGUUAAUACCUUCUAGCAUUGACGGUACCC